UACGUAGGCAGCGAGCGUUGUUCGGAGUUAUUGGGCGUAAAGGGCGCGUAGGCGCCUGGCAAGUGGAUGGUGAAAUCCCUCGGCUUAACCGAGGAACUGCCAUCCAGACUGCUUGGCUUGAGACCGGGAGAGGUGAGUGGAAUUCCCAGUGUAGCGGUGAAAUGCGUAGAUAUUGGGAGGAACACCAGUGGCGAAGGCGGCUCACUGGACCGGUACUGACGCUGAGGCGCGAAAGCGUGGGGAGCAAACGGG
rnacentral:rRNA from 1 species